ensembl:lincRNA Gm11791 predicted gene 11791
GGAGACCUAAGCCAUGCUGAUGAGGAAAUCACCCCUAGCCAGAGGCAACUGGGUCUGGUGGAUGGCUGGGCCUGGAGGGUAUGUAGAGGAGAAGAGGCCUGCCCGUGCUGCACGUGUGGGCCCGCCGCACAUGGGCCCAUGUGAAAAGAGCAUCAAUGGACCCAGCAUAGCAGAGGCUUAGAUCCACUCAGGGGGGUGACAUCUGAAGCUACACUAGUGGAAGACACUGUGUGGAGACAGAGAAGGCUGAAAUGUUUUCCCUGGAUGGGUGAGGUGAACCAGGAAUCCCAGGAACCUCCAGCCUUCCCCUCAUGUCGGUGACCAGAGCCACGGAGA